CUGGAUUCAGCAGUCAGUGGAGACCUCCACAAAAACAGUCCAGGCGAAGGGCAGUAGCAGAAGCCAGGUCUCAGAACUGCCAGUGGUUAUACCUGGAUUCUCUUCCAUGAUGUUGAGGGCCUCAAUUGCUGCAGCAGCUAACAGGGGAGGUAACGAGGCUGAAAAGCAGUAUCCCUGGCCGGAAAGUCGCUGAGAAGAAACAAAUGAGUUGAAGACAUAUACACAUUCUCCGUCCUUUCUAGCAUUUGUUUGAAUCAGGAUCCAAAUAAAGCCCGUACAUUCUGCUCUCUACUCUCAGGCGCUUCUGAGUAUUUCCUCAGUGACAACUGCUGGAAGCAUUCACAAAACUAC